rnacentral:rRNA from 1 species
CACGUAGGGCGCAAGCGUUGUCCGGAAUUAUUGGGCGUAAAGAGCUCGUAUGCGGUCUGUUGCGUCCGCUGUGAAAACCCGGGGCUUAACCCCUGGCUUGCAGUGGAUACGGACAGACUAGAGGUAGGUAGGGGAGAAUGGAAUUCCCGGUGUAGCGGUGAAAUGCGCAGAUAUCGGGAGGAACACCGGUGGCGAAGGCGGUUCUCUGGGCCUUACCUGACGCUGAGGAGCGAAAGCGUGGGGAGCGAACAGG